AAUGUGAACAAAUAACAAAGUAUGUCAUAUGACCAAUCGUUCAAAUAAAAGAAAGUAUCCUCUACAUUCCACAAUGUGUAAACGUAAACAACAGUCAUGACUUUUCACAAAUAUAGCCAACCCCCUGAUAGUCUGAAAGGAUAUUUUUUAAAGUAAGUUUUAAAAUUUAAUUUGAGAGACCUCCAAGUAAUGUACAGGCAAUUAAUUUAUUCACCAGUUUUAGCUUCUCUUAGAAAAAAAUAUUCUGACAAAUGAAACAUAGGAAAAACAUAUACUGGUUUUUACUAGAGCACCUUGCACAGGACUUUUGAAAAAAUAUUUUUUUGAAACUGGUACAAGGUUACCUGAUUCCAUUAUUAAGAUUAACGGGUAUUUUGCAUCAGACAAUUUUUAAUUUUAUAUCAAGAAUGAUUGGUUGCCCCUUGCAUAUGAGCUUUCUAGGGUAAAUUUAAACCUUUUUUUUCGUAUCUUAAAAAUUAUCUGAACACUAGAGAGUGGUUUUCCUCAUGCCUUAAUAGUACAUAAUAUAUUUCCAUGUAUCUAUCCAUCUCACAUUACACUAACUUAAAUGUCAAUGUAUUUUAAAAGUUUCACACUUCCUUCCUUCAGGGUGUAAUUUACGUGUCAGUUGUAGGGAAUUUUAGUUCAUUUUUCCACUCUUAUUAAGAAUAACACAACGGAUGACCACCAUAACAGGUUUUGAAAGAAUGUAUACUUUACACAAGACGUUUUUAUUUACACUAAAAUUUCAUGGAUUUUAAAUUCUUGGAAAUACGUAGAAAAACACUUAACAUGUUCAUGCAAGCCUAAGUUCAAGGCAUGAUUUACUUAAUGGUGGGAAAAUUUCAACCUCUUUAUGACAAAGUUUACAAAAGUGAAAUUAAAAUGUAAAAAAAAAUAGGUUUCAUUUUUAGUUAAAGUUAGUUUUACUUAUGAACCUUGACAAGAUUUUAAUUUGCAGAAGAUUUUAAAAUCUACUGAUCACAUUAUUCCAAACAAAAUAACAAAACAUAUACUUUCAAAAGACAGAAAAAAAUAAAAGUUACAGGUGAGUGAAAAUUACAGAUGCCAAAAUGAAUUGCCCAAAGAUGAGUAGGGUGGAGAACAAAA